rnacentral:rRNA from 1 species
UUAAAGGAAUUGACGGGGCCCGCACAGACGGAGGAGCAUGUGGUUUAAUUCGAUGAUACGCGAGGAACCUUACCUGGGCUCGAACGUAAGAUGACUGUAGGUGAAAGCUUACAUCUCUUCGGAGCAUUUUACGAGGUGCUGCAUGGUUGUCGUCAGCUCGUGCCGUGAGGUGUCGGGUUAAGUCCCAUAACGAGCGCAACCCCUACCUUAGUUGCCAUCAGGUUAAGCUGGGGACUCUAAAGGAACUGCCUACGCAAGUAGUGAGGAAGGCGGGGAUGACGUCAAAUCAGCACGGCCCUUACGUCCAGGGCUACACACGUGCUACAAUGGCCGAUACAGAGGGCAGCUACCUGGUGACAGGAUGCAAAUCUCCAAAGUCGGUCUCAGUUCGGAUCGGAGUCUGCAACCCGACUCCGUGAAGUUGGAUUCGCUAGUAAUCGCGCAUCAGCCAUGGCGCGGUGAAUACGUUCCCGGGCCUU